UACGUAGGGGGCAAGCGUUGUCCGGAUUUAUUGGGCGUAAAGAGCGUGUAGGCGGUUUGGUAGGUCCGCUGUGAAAACUCGAGGCUCAACCUCGAGACGCCGGUGGAAACCAUCAGACUAGAGUCCGGAAGAGGAGAGUGGAAUUCCUGGUGUAGCGGUGAAAUGCGCAGAUAUCAGGAAGAACACCCGUGGCUAAGGCGGCUCUCUAGUACGGUACUGACGCUCAUGCACGAAAGCGUGGGGAGCAAACAGG
rnacentral:rRNA from 1 species